UUGCUUCUAAUGGUUUUCUAU
ensembl:piRNA 21ur-11993 ncRNA